GGGUCUGUAAUGGUUUCGACGGGGUGGCGAAAGCUUCUCGUUGAUUCAGGUCGAGAGUGAACCUAAUCUCGUAAAUCAAGGUUCAAACAAAUAAUAACUGCAAACAACAUUGUAGCAUUCAAGCGUCAAGCAGUAGCUGCUUAAACUUUUUUCGUACGCUUCUCUCUAAUGUGACUCCGUUAAGCAUUAGAGAGCAACCCCCAACGGAUGCUCUAAUAAGUUCCCUUUGGUGGACUUAUUAGAAAAGACUUUACCAAAGCAUCCCACCGUUCGGGAUAAUGAACGGUCCCUGCCUCAAGGGUUAACGAGGCUAAACCUGUGAACGAUGCGGGGGUAAAUACCCAUUUCGGACGGCAGUUCAAUUCUGCCCAGAUCCAUUA
rnacentral:tmRNA from 1 species